GUCAGUGUAGCAUAGUGGUUUGAGCACUGGACUAAGACUCUGGAGACCAGGGUUCAAAUUUCCAUUCAGCCA
rnacentral:tRNA from 1 species